rnacentral:rRNA from 1 species
AGAGUUUGAUCAUGGCUCAGGAUGAACGCUAGCGGCAGGCUUAACACAUGCAAGUCGAGGGGCAGCGGGGAGGAAGCUUGCUUUCUCCGCCGGCGACCGGCGCACGGGUGAGUAACACGUAUGCAACCUGCCCCUGUCAGGGGGACAACCCGCCGAAAGGCGGGCUAAACCCGCGUACAUGCCACCGGGGCAUCCCGGAGGCAGGAAAGGCUUCGGCCGGACAGGGAUGGGCAUGCGGCGCAUUAGGCAGUAGGCGGGGUAACGGCCCACCUAACCGACGAUGCGUAGGGGUUCUGAGAGGAAGGUCCCCCACACUGGUACUGAGACACGGACCAGACUCCUACGGGAGGCAGCAGUGAGGAAUAUUGGUCAAUGGUCGGGAGACUGAACCAGCCAAGCCGCGUGAGGGAGGAAGGUACAGAGUAUCGUAAACCUCUUUUGUCAGGGAACAAAGACUGGGACGCGUCCCCGGAUGAGUGUACCUGAAGAAAAAGCAUCGGCUAACUCCGUGCCAGCAGCCGCGGUAAUACGGAGGAUGCGAGCGUUAUCCGGAUUUAUUGGGUUUAAAGGGUGCGCAGGCGGUCUGUUAAGUCAGCGGUCAAAGCCCGGGGC